rnacentral:rRNA from 1 species
CACCGAAGCCUGUGGUUAUUUGACUACUAGGCAAUGUGGUGUUUAGGUUGGUUCAUGGCAUUACUGCUCUACCCGAAGUCCAGCAAUGAGUACGGCUUACUGNUCUGGCCNACAGAGGGUNAAAGGCCCGUGGGGGUGNAGAUCAAGUUUGUNAGUUUUGCUUUGAGCCUACCUUN